UACGUAGGGUGCGAGCGUUGUCCGGAAUUAUUGGGCGUAAAGGGCUCGUAGGCGGUUUGUCACGUCGGGAGUGAAAACUCGGGGCUUAACUCCGAGCCUGCUUCCGAUACGGGCUGACUAGAGGUAUGCAGGGGAGAACGGAAUUCCUGGUGUAGCGGUGAAAUGCGCAGAUAUCAGGAGGAACACCGGUGGCGAAGGCGGUUCUCUGGGCAUUACCUGACGCUGAGGAGCGAAAGGUGUGGGGAGCGAACAGG
rnacentral:rRNA from 1 species